AUGAGGUUCUGGUCUCUGCUGGCCGUGGCAUGGCUGCCCGUCCUGCAGGUCCUCCUCGCCGGCGGCCUCGGAGCCUGCCUCGCGUCCAGCCGCUUCGACGUCCUCACCUCCGAUGCUCGGAGGCACAUAAACAAGGUUGUUUACAUCGUGUUCGUCCCGUCGCUCGUCUUCUCGAGCUUGGCAGGCACCGUCACGCUCAAGGACAUCAUUUCCUGGUGGUUCAUGCCAGUGAACAUGGGCAUCAUAUUCCUCAUCGGAGCAGCUCUAGGGUGGCUGGCCGUCAAGGCCCUGAAGCCAGGAGCACAUCUUCAGGGGCUGAUCAUUGCUUGCAGCUCAGCAGGUAACUGGGGAACCAUUCCUCUGAUGAUUGUCCCGGCGAUUUGCAAUGAGGAGGACAGCCCCUUUGGUGAUGCCGACACCUGCAAAUCUCUCGGCCUCUCCUACGUCUCGCUGUCCAUGGCGCUAGGGAAUUUCUUUAUCUGGACUCAUAGCUACAGCGUCAUGAAGAGAUCUGCUCAGCUAUACAAGAAAUGCGGUGAUCCUUCAACUAACUUAACGAAAGAAGAAAACUCGGGAGAAGCCGAAAACGGCAAUCAUGCGGCUUUUCUUCCCCUGUCGUCUGGGGAAUUUCUUCAUGAGGAUGUAGAGAGCGACCCGGUCAGUUCUAGCAUCCCUUCCAACGGUGUUGCUGGUAGCUUCCUGCACUACUUAAGAAGAGCAAAGGAACUGCUGGUAGAGAUACUGAAUGAACUGUGGUCACCUCCCAGUGUUGCCGCGCUCGUAGGGUUUACCGUGGGCGCAAUCGACAAGCUGAGACCACUCGUUACCGAGGAAGACGGCCCUCUCCGAGUAGUCCAAGAUACUGCAAAGUUACUAGCAGAUGCUGCGAUACCAUGCACCGUCCUCAUACUCGGCGGAAACCUCACAAAAGGCAGAGGCAGGACGACGAUGAAGCCUCUUGUAGUCAUAUCGAUCACCGUGAUACGCUUCGUCAUCCUCCCGUCCUGCGGAAUUGGGGUGGUGAAGGCAGCCAGAGAGCUCGGGUUCCUUCCGAGAUCGCCCCUGUACCGCUACGUUCUCCUGCUGCAGUCCACGGUUCCCCCAGCCAUGAGCAUCGGGACGAUAGCCCAGCUGUUUGAUGUUGGGGAAGAGGAGUGCUCCAUCGUCUUCCUAUGGACGCACCUGGUUGCAGCCCUGGCUCUCACGCUCUGGUCGACGGUGUUCAUGUCACUCGUGUCCUGA
rnacentral:rRNA from 1 species